rnacentral:rRNA from 1 species
AACGCGAAGAACCUUACCUAGACUUGACAUCCCGGGCAAAGAUAUAGAAAUAUAUUGGAGGUUAUCCCGGUGACAGGUGGUGCAUGGUUGUCGUCAGCUCGUGUCGUGAGAUGUUCGGUUAAGUCCGCUAACGAGCGCAACCCUUGUCAUUAGUUGCUAACAAGUUGAGUUGAGCACUCUAAUGAGACUGCCGAUGAUAAAUCGGAGGAAGGUGGGGAUGACGUCAAAUCAUCAUGCCCCUUACGUCUAGGGCAACAGGCGUGCUAUAAUGGCUGGUACAAAGAGAAGCGAACUCGUGAGGGGGAGCAAAACUGAAAAAGCCAGUCUCAGUUCGGACUGGAGUCUGCAACCCGACUCCACGAAGCUGGAUUCGCUAGUAAUCGCGCAUCAGCCAUGGCGCGGUGAAUACGUUCCCGGGUCUUGUACACACGC